rnacentral:misc_RNA from 1 species
GAUGAAGAACGUAGCGAAAUGCGAUAAGUAGUGUAAAUUGCAGAAUUCAGUGAAUCAUCGAAUCUUUGAACGCACAUUGCGCCCUUUGGUAUUCCUUAGGGCAUGCCUGUUCGAGCGUCAUUUAAACCUUCAAGCUCAGCUUGGUGUUGGGUGACUGUCCGCUUCACCGCGGACUCGCCUCAAAAUUAUUGGCGGCCGGUACAUUGGCUUCGAGCGCAGCAGAAACGCGAACUCGGGCCCGUCGUAUUGGCUCCCAGAAGCUAUCUUCACAAUUUUGACCUCGGAUCAGGUAGGGAUACCCGCUGAACUUAAGCAUAUCAAUAAGCGGAGGA